rnacentral:rRNA from 1 species
GUGAGGAAUAUUGGUCAAUGGGCGGGAGCCUGAACCAGCCAAGUCGCGUGAAGGAAGAAGGAUCUAUGGUUCGUAAACUUCUUUUGCAGGGGAAUAAAGUGCGGGACGUGUCCUGUUUUGUAUGUACCCUGAGAAUAAGGAUCGGCUAACUCCGUGCCAGCAGCCGCGGUAAUACGGAGGAUCCGAGCGUUAUCCGGAUUUAUUGGUUUUAAAGGGUGCGUAGGUGGUUUGAUAAGUCAGCGGUGAAAGUUUGCAGCUUAACUGUAAAAAUGCCGUUGAAACUGUCGGACUUGAGUGUAAAUGAGGUAGGCGGAAUGCGUGGUGUAGCGGUGAAAUGCAUAGAUAUCACGCAGAACUCCGAUUGCGAAGGCAGCUUACUAAGCUACAACUGACACUGAAGCACGAAAGCGUGGGGAUCAAACAGGAUUAGAUACCCCGGUAGUCC